ACUCGACUCCAUGAAGUCGGAAUCGCUAGUAAUCGUAGAUCAGAAUGCUACGGUGAAUACGUUCCCGGGCCUUGUACC
rnacentral:rRNA from 1 species